rnacentral:lncRNA from 1 species
CUGGAUUAAUAAUGGUAGAAAAGCAUUUGGAGAAAUCUUGAGUCCCUCCUGCCAUUAACAUAGGUCUACUGUUUGCUUGACUAGACAGAGCAGCAACAACAGCAACAAACAACAGAGCAAAAAAUACAACUAGAAAUUGAUUUUCUGAAGACCAAAGUGCAACAACACUACGAGCAGGAAGCUAAGACAGAUCAAGAAAAGAAAGAACAAGAAUGUCAAACAGAACGAAAAGUUUUUGAACCUGUUGUGCAUCAGAAACAGGAAGCAGAAUACAAGGCUGACAUUGCCCUGGAGCCACAGGUAUCCUGGUUUCCCAAGGAGGAUGACCAUCUAAAGAGAAUUCAUGACUGUCAGCAACGUCUGUUGGUGCAAAACAGGAUGCAUCAAGAAUCAGUUGAUGAAGCCAGAAGAAAAUUAGAAGAAUAUCAGAAUAAACUGCAACAGAGAUUCCAGUCAGUUUCCAGGGGCCUGUUAAAUCCCCUAGACAGAUUUGCACACCUAAACGCUCUCCCUGAUCCAUUGUCACAAGCCCAGGAGUUGCAUCAACCCCGGAGAAUAAAAGCAACGGCUUACAAGCCACCCGAG